rnacentral:ribozyme from 1 species
UCCAGUGGGGAGUUCUGUUAAUGGAGUAGGGUCCGAGACUCCUUUCGGGGUUACACAGCCUUUCCUACCGAACUCCUAUUCCGUCACGCCCUUGUCGUACAGAGUGUGGUAACUUGUCCCACCACGGGCCUGUCCCAACCCCUUGGGUGGACGGUGGAGCAAGGCUUAACUGGAGGAG